rnacentral:rRNA from 1 species
UACGUAGGGUGCGAGCGUUAAUCGGAAUUACUGGGCGUAAAGCGUGCGCAGGCGGUUUUGUAAGCCAGAUGUGAAAUCCCCGGGCUUAACCUGGGAAUGGCAUUUGGGACUGCAAGGCUCGAGUGCGGCAGAGGGGGAUGGAAUUCCGCGUGUAGCAGUGAAAUGCGUAGAUAUGCGGAGGAACACCGAUGGCGAAGGCAAUCCCCCUGGGCCUGCACUGACGCUCAUGCACGAAAGCGUGGGGAGCAAACAGG